UCCCACUUAGCUCAGUUGGUAGAGCACACGGCUGUUAACCGUGCGGUCCCUGGUUCGAGUCCAGGAGUGGGAG
rnacentral:tRNA from 1 species